UGGCCUCAGAUCAGGGAGGAUCACCCGCCGAAUUUAAGGCAUAUUAGUAAGCGGAGGAAAAGAAACUAACCAGGAUUUCCUUAGUAGCGGCGAGCGAACAGGAAAUAGCCCAGCACUGAUCCCGCGGUUGUAACGAUCGCGGGAGAUGUGGUGUUCGGGAGGUAUCGCUUUCUCGUCGUCGCCACUCCUGUCCAAGUUCGUCUUGACGGGGCCGUUUUCCCCGUAGAGGGUGCCAGGGCCCGUAGCGACGGAGCGAGACGGCGAGAGGUACGCUCCUCAGAGUCGGGUUGCUUGAGAGUGCAGCCCUAAGUGGGUGGCUAAACUCCAUCUAAGGCUAAAUAUUACCGCGAGACCGAUAGCGAACAAGUACCGUGAGGGAAAGUUGAAAAGAACUUUGAAGAGAGAGUUCAUGAGUACGUGAAACAGUUCAGGGGUAAACCUGCGAAACUCGAAUGAACGAACGGAGAGAUUCAUCGUCAUUCGACGGCGUACGGGGCGCGCGCCUCGAUGUCUCAUACCUCCCCUCGCGGGUGCGUCGUGGGGGCACGGGUCGCGUCCGUCCGACGUUCGUCGACGGCGUGCACUUCUCUCUCAGUAAUACAUCGCGACCCGUUCGAUGUCGGUCUAAGCGCCGUUCGGGAGUCCAGUCGUCGUGUUCGCGCACGUCUUUUGGACCGUGACGGUGCCGACCGGCCGUCGGACGGUAGUACAAAAUCGUACUUAUAAUACGAAUCGCGCACGCGUCUCACGCGCGUCCGGCCCGACCGCAAGCGAACGUCGUUUGUCGAUGGCCCUGCCCGAGUGCGGACGUCGACGCGGCGCUGCUGUCGUCGCUGCCGUGUUGUCUCGGACUGUGCGCGUAUCCGUCUGCGAUGAUUCAUUUUCGGGCACUCGCAGGACCCGUCUUGAAACACGGACCAAGGAGUCUAGCAUGUGUGCGAGUCAUUGAGAUAUUUAUACAUAAAACUGAAAGGCGCAACGAAAGUGAAGGCGCGCGCUAAACACGCGCGCUCAGGGAGGAUGGAGCUUCGGUCUCGAUCGAUCUCUCGUCACUCCCGAGGCGUCUCGUUUCCAAUCCGUGAAUGCAGGCGCGCUCUGAGCACAGAUGCUGGGACCCGAAAGAUGGUGAACUAUGCCUGGUCAGGUCGAAGUCAGGGAAACCCUGAUGGAGGACCGUAGCGAUUCUGACGUGCAAAUCGAUCGUCGGAAACUGGGUAUAGGGGCGAAGACUAAUCGAACCCAUCUAGUAGCUGGUUCCGUCCGAAGUUUCCCUCAGGCUAGCUGGCGUCGAUAAUUAACAGUCCCCAUCCGGUAAAGCGAAUGAUUAGAGCAUUGGGGGCCGAAACGACCUCAACCUAUUCUCAAACUUUAAAUGGGUGAGAACUCCGGCUUACUCGAACGAUGAAGCCGGAGAUCUGAUGACGGUGCCAAGUGGGCCAAUUUUGGUAAGCAGAACUGGCGCUGUGGGAUGAACCAAACGUAGUGUUAAGGCGCCUAAAAAACGCUCAUGGGACACCAUGAAAGGCGUUGGUCGCUCAUGACAGCAGGACGGUGGCCAUGGAAGUCGGAAUCCGCUAAGGAGUGUGCAACGACUCACCUGCCGAAGCAACCAGCCCUGAAAAUGGAUGGCGCUGAAGCGUUUUGCCUAUACACUACCGUUACGGGCGCACGUGCGACGUUGUACGUUUGCGUCAUUAUGCCGUAACGAGUAGGACGUGCGCGGCGGAGUGCGCAGAAGGGUCUGGGCGUGAGCCCGCUUGGAGCCUCCGUCGGUGCAGAUCUUGGUGGUAGUAGCAAAUACUCCAGCGAGGCCCUGGAGGACUGACGUGGAGAAGGGUUUCGCGUGAACAGUAGUUGCUCGCGAGUCAGUCGAUCCUAAGCUCAAGGAGAGAUCUUAUGUCGAUGUGGCGUGUUUUUUUUAUGUUUACGUUUUUUUUUGUUUUGUCGUUUAUUUCGUCAAUUCGAGAGAAUGUGAUAUAACGAAAUAACGCCCUCGAGCGAAAGGGAAUCCGGUUCCUAUUCCGGAACCCCGGCAGCGGAACCGUUUCAAUAAUCGUUCCCUCGUUUCAAACGCGAGUGUUCGACGGGGUAACCCAAAGUGGCCUGAAGACGCCGCCGAGGGGUCCGGGAAGAGUUUUCUUUUCUGCCUGAGCGUUCGAGUUCCAUGGAAUCCUAUAGAAGGGAGAUAUGGUUCGGAACGCGAAGAGCACCGCAUUUGCGGCGGUGUCCGGAUACUCUCUGCGGACCUUGAAAAUUCAGGUGAGGGAUGUACGUGGAGAUGUCGCGCCGGUUCGUACCCCAUAUCCGCAGCAGGUCUCCAAGGUGAAGAGCCUCUAGUCGAUAGAAUAAUGUAGGUAAGGGAAGUCGGCAAAUUGGAUCCGUAACUUCGGAAUAAGGAUUGGCUCUGAGGACCGGGGCGUGUCGGGUUUGGACGGGAAGCGGAUGCGGGCCGGUGCCGGGCCUGGUCGACCGCUCGUUCGUCUCUCGGGACGUUCGUGCG